UGCCCGGUAGCUAAAUGCGGAAGAGAUAAGUGCUGAAAGCAUCUAAGCACGAAACUUGCCCCGAGAUGAGUUCUCCCUGACUCCUUGAGAGUCCUGAAGGAACGUUGAAGACGACGACGUUGAUAGGCCGGGUGUGUAAGCGCAGCGAUGCGUUGAGCUAACCGGUACUAAUGAACCGUGAGGCUUAACCUUACAACGCCGAAG
rnacentral:rRNA from 1 species